GGCAGUGUGACCUAGUGAACAGAGCACUAGAUUGCAACACUAGAGAUCUGGGUUCCAUUCCCAGUUCUGCCA
rnacentral:tRNA from 1 species